GAUGAACGCUAGCUACAGGCUUAACACAUGCAAGUCGAGGGGAAACGACAUUGAAGCUUGCUUCGAUGGUCGUCGACCGGCGCACGGGUGAGUAACGCGUAUCCAACCUGCCUCUGACCAAGGGAUAACCCGUCGAAAGUCGGCCUAAUGCCUUAUGCAGUCGUCGGAAGUCAUCUGAUGACGACGAAAGAUUUCAUCGGUGAGAGAUGGGGAUGCGUCUGAUUAGCUUGUUGGCGGGGUAACGGCCCACCAAGGCAACGAUCAGUAGGGGUUCUGAGAGGAAGGUCCCCCACAUUGGAACUGAGACACGGUCCAAACUCCUACGGGAGGCAGCAGUGAGGAAUAUUGGUCAAUGGGCGAGAGCCUGAACCAGCCAAGUAGCGUGCAGGAUGACGGCCCUAUGGGUUGUAAACUGCUUUUAUGCGGGGAUAAAGUGAGGGACGUGUCCUUCAUUGCAGGUACCGCAUGAAUAAGGACCGGCUAAUUCCGUG
rnacentral:rRNA from 1 species